AAGUUGGUUAGUGUUUUGAUGCGGCUUUGUGUUUGAUAGUAAAUUUUAAAGAAAUUUACGAAAUUUUAUUCGUGCAGAAAAUGUCAAAAAGUUGCGCCAUUAGUGGAUGCGUACAAAGGUAUCGAAGUUUCUACCGAUUUCCAAACCCACAAAUAUAUCAAAAAUGGGUUUUAUGUUGUGUGCGAGAAAACCUGCUUCAGUGUGAACACUUGAGGGUUUAUAAUAAUUUUCGAGUUUGUGAUAAGCCUUUUCGACGAGAGGAUGUUGGACGUAACAACAAAUUGUUGAAAGGAGUAGUACCAUCAUUAAAUUUGCCAGAUAUCAGUACUUAGAAGUCAGUACUUCAAGUGCUUCGAAUAACACGCCCACUACUCCACAUGCAGAUAUGGGACUUUAGGUUGCUUCAACAUCCACCAGUGCAAUCUCAUUGGAGACUUCAGGUAAGAAAUUAUGUGUUUUAUAAAUCGUUUAUUUUGAAAAGCUCUGGUUAAAUUACCUAUAAUGGCAUAUAACUCUUAAUAAGAGUUAUUUAUUAAUAAACGAAACAUCAUUCAAAAAACGUUUAAUUUCCCUUUUAUUACAAAAGAAUGUAGUAUAAU